AAGAUUGACCGAAAGGUCUUAUCUCUAUAUCCCUCACCUCUGUGAACUGUGGACCUCCGGGUCUAUUUAACAAACAUCAGUGUAAUGAACGUAUAUAUCAUUAAACAAAACA
rnacentral:misc_RNA from 2 species